rnacentral:rRNA from 1 species
CGUGAGACAGUUCGGUCUCUAUCCUCCGUGGGCGUAAGAAAUUUGAGUAAAUCUGUCCUUAGUACGAGAGGACCGGGAUGGACGAACCUAUGGUGAACCGGUUAUGACGCCAGUUGUAUCGCCGGGUAGCUAAGUUCGGAAUGGAUAACCGCUGAAAGCAUCUAAGUGGGAAGCCAAUUACAAGAUAAGAUUUCUAUUAAGACAACUUCUAGACUAGGAGUUUGAUAGGUUGGGGGUGUAAGAGCAGUAAUGCUUUGAGCUGACCAAUACUAAUUUGUCGUUCUGCUUUUUUUUUAU